rnacentral:rRNA from 1 species
CAGUAGCCGCGGUAAUACGUAGGGGGCAAGCGUUACCCGGAAUUAUUGGGCGUAAAGAGUGCGUAGGUGGUCUACUAAGCGCGAGGUGAAAGGCAAUGGCUCAACCAUUGUUAGCCUUGCGAACUGGCAGACUUGAGUGCAAGAGAGGAAAGCGGAAUUCCUAGUGUAGCGGUGAAAUGCGCAGAUAUUAGGAGGAACACCGGCGGCGAAGGCGGCUUUCUGGAUUGUAACUGACACUGAGGCACGAAAGCGUGGGUAGCAAACAGGAUUAGAUACCCCAGUAGUCCCUGUCUCUUAUACC